rnacentral:rRNA from 1 species
ACUUUCAGCAACGGAUCUCUUGGCUCUCGCAUCGAUGAAGAACGCAUCGAAUUGCGAUAAGUAAUGUGAAUUGCAGAUUUUCAGUGAAUCAUCGAAUCUUUGAACGCACCUUGCGCUCCUUGGUAUUCCGAGGAGCAUGCCUGUUUGAGUGUCA